GACGAACGCUGGCGGCGUGCUUAACACAUGCAAGUCGAACGGUGAUCCAUCAGCUUGCUGGUGGUGAUCAGUGGCGAACGGGUGAGUAACACGUGAGUAACCUGCCCCUGACUCUGGAAUAACCCCGGGAAACCGGGGCUAAUACCGGAUACGACACCAAUCCGCAUGGGUAUGGUGUGGAAAGUUUUUUCGGUUGGGGAUGGGCUCGCGGCCUAUCAGCUUGUUGGUGAGGUAGUGGCUCACCAAGGCGACGACGGGUAGCCGGCCUGAGAGGGCGACCGGCCACACUGGGACUGAGACACGGCCCAGACUCCUACGGGAGGCAGCAGUGGGGAAUAUUGCGCAAUGGGCGGAAGCCUGAUGCAGCGACGCCGCGUGAGGGAUGACGGCCUUCGGGUUGUAAACCUCUUUCAGCUCUGAAGAAGCGAAAGUGACGGUAGGAGCAGAAGAAGCACCGGCUAACUACGUGCCAGCAGCCGCAGUAACAC
rnacentral:rRNA from 1 species